CCAUUUGAGUAGAGAGCGCCGAGAGGGAAGCGGGGCCUGCACUUUGUGACCCAAGCAGCUUCCUGUUGAGCAAACACUCCGCUUUGAGUGGCGAUUGUUUCAUAGGAGGGAACAGCCAGGGAAGCACAGGGAGUGAUGAAUUGUUAGCAGAUGGGCAGGCUGAGACCUGUGCAGAGUGACCGGCCCAGACACGCCACCAGCGCAAAGCACAGACUCGCCCGCAAGGCAGGAGCCAGGGGCAAAGUUCAGCUUCUCCCAGACGUAGGAGAGAAAAGUAAGAGGGCACUCAGCUUUGUAAGGAUGGCACCCUUCAACUGGCAAGCCACCUAGGUAAAGAUCAGGGCGAUCAGCUCAACGGAUGGAGCACCACCCAGCGCAAAACAGGAAGCGGCACCAUCUGCAAGCGGAAGCCACCACUCAGAAUAAGGACUUCUGUGAAAAAACUGAGCUGUGAGAACCUGCCAGCACAGCAAGAAGAACUGAAACUCAAGUUACAAGUGAGGGCAAACAGUCGAUUACUUCCGCCUUCCUGUGUGCCCCCACCCCUUCACAGAAACCAACCCAGACCAUCCUGAGUGAAGCAUGAAGGUGCAGUUCUGCUGCAAAGAGGCUCGGUGGAUGGAGGAUGCUGCAGCCUGCGUCCGUAGACGUCCUGCUGCACCCACAUCUCGUAUGACAAGGAAGCUACAUCAGGAGAGUACGAGGGAAUUGCCAGGUGGAGUGCCUGUGUGAACAAAGCCAACUCUGAAAUCCCAGGAAUCUCAAUCUUCUCAGUUCUCGACCAGCAAUCAAUUCCAGAAAUUAAAGGGUUGGUGAACUUAUCAACACAAAGAAGCAAAAGUGCUGAGUGAAGCCUACAACAACUCCCCAUGUCCUCGUGCUGUGUAUACAAAGGAGGAGUUCAGCUAUUUGGACAGUGUAAGCUGAACUGACGACUUUAAAAGCUAGCCAAGAAAUCAGCAAUUAAAUGCAGUUACCAGCAGGUGGCCAUGUGCAGUUUUGCGUUGUGCAGCUUUGAAGCAGCUCACGACUGUGGAGGUUGCUGGUGCAUUUUUUUUGCUUAACUGCUUUUCAACAUUUCAUACAAGGUACUGUCAAAGUAAGUAUGAGAGAUAAAAUACAAAGCACUCAAAGUCUUUUGGAUCUUAGGUUUACUUUUUCAAUAUUUAUAGCAGACAAAAUAUAAAUAUAAUCAACAUAUUUGUAUAAUUGCAGAAUACAGAUAUUUAAUAAAUAAAAAAAAGCACAAAGACAAUGGGCGAGUGACACCAAACCAUUAAACACUCAUCCACCAACAAAGAGAACAAAAAAAUUAAGACAGUCCCCUGUACACUUAACAAAAGACAAAAAAGAAAACACAUAAAACCAUAAACAUCCACCAUGUGAUGUGAUUUGAUUUUACCUUAAAUAAAAAAUGUUCAGCACACAACUUAACCCAUAAAGUAAACCGUGGGUAGGCUGACUUAUUGACAUGGAUAUCCUGGCAGAGGUUGGACUCUUUUAAGAGAUUCAGUGCACUUACCUCCUAUAUUGGGCUUGACUAUACACAGUGUACCAAGGAGCUGGAAAUCAUAAAAAAUACACAUUCAUAAUACACCCGCAGGAUGUAUCAUAGCAGUGAAGGUAAACGUAAAGGUAAUGAGGUAAAAAAAAACAAAAAAAAAACAAA